UGCUGCAGUUGAGAAUAUUGGGCAAUGGGCGCAAGCCUGAUCCAGCAAGAUAGAAGGAAUGAAAAGGAAAAUAGCAUAAAGUUCUAAAGGGAAAUGAAAUAACGAUUUAUUUCUCUAUUUAAUCCUGACCAAUUUCGUGCCAGCAGUCGCGGUUAUACGAAAAGGAUGAGCGUAAUUCAUAAUGACUAGGUGUAAAGGGUCUGUAGGCGGUUAAGAAAAAAAUAAAUUAACUAGAGUGUAGAAAAGGAAAUGGGAAUUAUUGGUAGAGGGAUAAAAUCCUAUGACAUCUUUACGAAUGCCGAAAAGGGCGAAGGCAAUUUUCUAUGAAACACUGACGCUAAGAGACUAAAGUGUGGGUAGCGAAAAGGAUUAGAUACCCGGUUUAGUCUACAA
rnacentral:rRNA from 1 species